CCUACGGGUGGCUGCAGUGAGGAAUAUUGGUCAAUGGUCGGGAGACUGAACCAGCCAAGCCGCGUGAGGGAGGAAGGUACAGAGUAUCGUAAACCUCUUUUGUCAGGGAACAAAGACUGGGACGCGUCCCCGGAUGAGUGUACCUGAAGAAAAAGCAUCGGCUAACUCCGUGCCAGCAGCCGCGGUAAUACGGAGGAUGCGAGCGUUAUCCGGAUUGAUUGGGUUUGAAGGGUGCGCAGGCGGUCUGUUAAGUCAGCGGUCAAAGCCCGGGGCUCAACCCCGGCCCGCCGUUGAUACUGGCAGUCUCGAGUUGGAGAGAGGUAUGCGGAAUGCGCGGUGUAGCGGUGAAAUGCAUAGAUAUCGCGAAGAACUCCGAUUGCGAAGGCAGCAUGCCGGCUCCACACUGACGCUGAGGCACGAAAGCGUGGGGAGCGAACAGGAUUAGAUACCCGUGUAGUC
rnacentral:rRNA from 1 species